rnacentral:rRNA from 1 species
AAUCCAUAGGUUAAUGAGGCGAACCGGGGGAACUGAAACAUCUAAGUACCCCGAGGAAAAGAAAUCAACCGAGAUUCCCCCAGUAGCGGCGAGCGAACGGGGAGGAGCCCAGAGCCUGAAUCAGCAUGUGUGUUAGUGGAAGCGUCUGGAAAGGCGCGCGAUACAGGGUGACAGCCCCGUACACAAAAGCGCAUGUGCUGUGAGCUCGAUGAGUAGGGCGGGACACGUGGUAUCCUGUCUGAAUAUGGGGGGACCAUCCUCCAAGGCUAAAUACUCCUGACUGACCGAUAGUGAACCAGUACCGUGAGGGAAAGGCGAAAAGAACCCCGGCGAGGGGAGUGAAAAAGAACCUGAAACCGUGUACGUACAAGCAGUGGGAGCACCCUUCGGGGUGUGACUGCGUACCUUUUGUAUAAUGGGUCAGCGACUUAUAUUCUGUAGCAAGGUUAACCGUAUAGGGGAGCCGGAGGGAAACCGAGUCUUAACCGGGCGUUAAGUUGCAGGGUAUAGACCCGAAACCCGGUGAUCUAGCCAUGGGCAGGUUGAAGGUUGGGUAACACUAACUGGAGGACCGAACCGACUAAUGUUGAAAAAUUAGCGGAUGACCUGUGGCUGGGGGUGAAAGGCCAAUCAAACCGGGAGAUAGCUGGUUCUCCCCGAAAGCUAUUUAGGUAGCGCCUCGUGAAUUCAUCUCCGGGGGUAGAGCACUGUUUCGGCUAGGGGGCCAUCCCGGCUUACCAACCCGAUGCAAACUGCGAAUACCGGAGAAUGUUAUCACGGGAGACACACGGCGGGUGCUAACGUCCGUCGUGAAGAGGGAAACAACCCAGACCGCCAGCUAAGGUCCCAAAGUCAUGGUUAAGUGGGAAACGAUGUGGGAAGGCCCAGACAGCCAGGAUGUUGGCUUAGAAGCAGCCAUCAUUUAAAGAAAGCGUAAUAGCUCACUGGUCGAGUCGGCCUGCGCGGAAGAUGUAACGGGGCUAAACCAUGCACCGAAGCUGCGGCAGCGAACGUAUCACCCAAGACAACUUUACGGAGUUGACGAUUGACGGAGCGAAGCGACGUCAAAGCGUUCAUUAAAGUCGAGUUGGCUUAGGGAUACGUUCGUUGGGUAGGGGAGCGUUCUGUAAGCCUGCGAAGGUGA